GCUGAACGCUGGCGGCGUGCUUAACACAUGCAAGUCGAACGGAAAGGCCCAAGCUUGCUUGGGUACUCGAGUGGCGAACGGGUGAGUAACACGUGGUUGAUCUGCCCUGCACUUCGGGAUAAGCCUGGGAAACUGGGUCUAUUACCGGAUAGGACGACGGCUUGGAUGCCAUUGUGGAAAGGUUUUUCGGGGUGGGAUGAGCUCGCGGCCUUUCAGCUUGUUUGUGGGGUAAUGGGCUACCAAGGCGUUGGGGGGGGACCGGCCUGAGAGGGGGUACGGGGACAUUGUGAGUGAGAGACGGCGCAGACUCCUACGGGAGGCAGAAGUGUGGAAUAUUGCACAAUGGGGGCAAGCCUGAGGCAGAGACGCCGCGUGGGCGAUGACAGCCUUCGGGUUGUAAACUCCUUUCGCUAGGGACGAAGCGUUUUUGUGACGGUACCGGGUGAAGAAGCACCGGCUAACUACGUG
rnacentral:rRNA from 1 species